rnacentral:lncRNA from 1 species
GGGUGGGGGAGAAACUUUUUUUUUCUAAGAUUUUCCACAGAUUCUAUAGUACUAUUGACAAACUGAGUUAGAGAAGGAUUGUACUGCUACGCUGUUUGGCACCAACACCUUCAGGGAUUGGAGCAGCUUUUUUCCUUGGAAGAGUAUUCCCAGUGAAGCUGAAAUGUACAGCCCAGUGCAGCUUUGGUUCAUAUUCAGUCAUCUCAGGAGAACUUCAGAAGAGCUUGACUAGGCCAAAUGUUGAAGUUAAGUUUUCAAAUAACGACUUUUAAGAUACCUUUAUUAAAGGGGAGGGGCAAAUUUUGGCGAUUUAUAGUUGGCAGUGGCUUGUGAUGAUUGGGAUGGGGGGGCGUGGGUUUAGGUAAUUGUUUAGUUUUUGAUUACAGAUAAACUCAUGCCAGAGAACUUAAAUACUUAAGGUGGAAAAACUAAAGAAAUCUCAACUUCCAAGUUGGUGAUUUAAUAAAACUUAAUACUACUAUAGGAGCUUCAGAACAAAGGAGGUGGCUUAAUGAUCCUGAAGGGAUUUCUUCUGGUGGUAGCUUUUGUAUUAUCAAUGAGGUCCAGCCUAUCUCCGUCAGUCCCUGGUGAGAACUUGUUCUAUAUACAGGCUCCAAUGUGGUGAAUCAACUUCCAUUGUCAAUUUUGUGCUGCAUUUAAGUGAGCUGCUGCUCCUGAUGAUGUAAGCAUGACUGCACUGCCCUUGUGUCUCCCUUCUUCUUAUGUUUUUUUCCCCCUCUCCUCUCUUGGUUGAAGUAGAAGAAGGUGUGCUUGUGGAAGGUUGAGCUAGUCCUCCUCCAGCCAGUGUAACAAUGUAUUUACUAGGUUCAUGAUCACAGCGAUUUGUGAUCACAGUAUUUUCCUGUGCAAAUUUUCAUGUGAAUUUUUGAGUUAGUUUCCUGCUGCAAGCUUCCUUUGGAUCUGGAUUGAAGAUAGUACUUCUAACAGAGAUCAUCUCUCCUCACUAACAAUUACGUGGACAAGUCUAAAAUGAAACAGCUUUCGGCUUCCGUGGUGGCUCAGUGGUAAGAAUCUGCCUGUCAAUGCAGAAGACCCGGGUUCAACCCCUGGUCCAGGAAGAUCCCACAUGCCACAGAGCACCUAAGCCUGUGUGCCACAACUACUGAGCCUGUGCUCUAGGGCCCAGGAAUCACAACUACUGAGUCCAUGUGCUGGAACUACUGAAUCCCAAGGGCCCUAGAGCCCGUACUCCAUAACAAAAGAAGCCAUAGCAAUGAGAAGCCUUUGCACUGCAGCAGAGAGUAGUCUUCUCUCUCAGUAACUAGAGAAAAGCCCUGAAAGCGAUGAAAAUCGAGCAUAGCCAAAAAUAAAUAUAGAAAUAAAAAUGAUAAAAAAAUAAAA